CACAGAGCGCACGAAACACGUAUAGACUGGUUCGCCAUCUUUUGUGUUAUUAUUAUUAAAUAAGAGUAAUUUUAAUAGUAAAAAUAUUUGUUUAAGAUUCAUCGACUUUUAAAAUGACGUUCCCUCUACAAGAAUUCAAACAAGGAAAUGACAUACACUAUAAGGUAACGGGGAGCAAAAUGUUAUUUGUUCCCACAUCAGUCCACUACGACUUUAAGAAAAUUGUUGGAAACGAAGACUUAGAUAAAGGAUUGAAUGCCCUAAUGGAUAAAAACUGGUUAAAUAUUGCGAUAUUUUGGCAACGGCUGUUCCCCGGGAUGUUUAUUCGAAGUUUUGAAAAACUAUUUAAUAAUCUGUUGGAAAAAGUGCCUGUGGUUGACUUGUUCGAUGGGGUCUAGUCCAACGAGGUGGAAUUGCACAUUUUCAGUUGCCCGUUAUACAACUUUUUUGUUUAACUUUAGUAUUUUUUUGUUAAAUGGGUGCUCACGUUUGUCUUUUACGAGAAAAUAAAGUUUUAUGUUAUCGAA